rnacentral:rRNA from 1 species
GACGAACGCUGGCGGCGUGCUUAACACAUGCAAGUCGAACGGAAAGGCCCUGCUUUUGUGAGGUGCUCGAGUGGCGAACGGGUGAGUAACACGUGAGUAACCUGCCCUUGACUUUGGGAUAACUUCAGGAAACUGGGGCUAAUACCGGAUAGGAGCUCCUGCUGCAUGGUGGGGGUUGGAAAGGUUCGGCGGUUGGGGAUGGACUCGCGGCUUAUCAGCUUGUUGGUGGGGUAGUGGCUUACCAAGGCUUUGACGGGUAGCCGGCCUGAGAGGGUGACCGGCCACAUUGGGACUGAGAUACGGCCCAGACUCCUACGGGAGGCAGCAGUGGGGAAUAUUGCACAAUGGGCGGAAGCCUGAUGCAGCAACGCCGCGUGCGGGAUGACGGCCUUCGGGUUGUAAACCGCUUUCGCCUGUGACGAAGCGUGAGUGACGGUAAUGGGUAAAGAAGCACCGGCUAACUACGUG